GAUCAUUACUGAGUUUACGCUCUACAACCCUUUGUGAACAUACCUAUAACUGUUGCUUCGGCGGGUAGGGUCUCCGUGACCCUCCCGGCCUCCCGCCCCCGGGCGGGUCGGCGCCCGCCGGAGGAUAACCAAACUCUGAUUUAACGACGUUUCUUCUGAGUGGUACAAGCAAAUAAUCAAAACUUUUAACAACGGAUCUCUUGGUUCUGGCAUCGAUGAAGAACGCAGCGAAAUGCGAUAAGUAAUGUGAAUUGCAGAAUUCAGUGAAUCAUCGAAUCUUUGAACGCACAUUGCGCCCGCCAGCAUUCUGGCGGGCAUGCCUGUUCGAGCGUCAUUUCAACCCUCAAGCUCUGCUUGGUGUUGGGGCCCUACAGCCGAUGUAGGCCCUCAAAGGUAGUGGCGGACCCUCCCGGAGCCUCCUUUGCGUAGUAACUUUACGUCUCGCACUGGGAUCCGGAGGGACUCUUGCCGUAAAACCCCCAAUUUUCCAAAGGUUGACCUCGGAUCAGGUAGGAAUACCCGCUGAACUUAAGCAUAUCAAUAAGCGGAGGAAAAGAAACCAACAGGGAUUGCCUCAGUAACGGCGAGUGAAGCGGCAACAGCUCAAAUUUGAAAUCUGGCCCUAGGCCCGAGUUGUAAUUUGCAGAGGAUGCUUUUGGUGCGGUGCCUUCCAAGUUCCCUAGAACGGGACGCCAGAGAGGGUGAGAGCCCCGUACAGUUGGACACCAAGCCUUUGUAAAGCUCCUUCGACGAGUCGAGUAGUUUGGGAAUGCUGCUCAAAAUGGGAGGUAUAUUUCUUCUAAAGCUAAAUACCGGCCAGAGACCGAUAGCGCACAAGUAGAGUGAUCGAAAGAUGAAAAGCACUUUGAAAAGAGGGUUAAACAGCACGUGAAAUUGUUAAAAGGGAAGCGCUUGUGACCAGACUUGCGUCCGGUGAAUCACCCAGCUCUCGCGGCUGGGGCACUUCGCCGGCUCAGGCCAGCAUCAGCUCGCUGUCGGGGACAAAAGCUUCAGGAACGUAGCUCUCUUCGGGGAGUGUUAUAGCCUGUUGCAUAAUACCCUUCGGCGGGCUGA
rnacentral:misc_RNA from 1 species